UAACCUAGUGGUUAAGGCUAUGGAUCGCCAAUCCAGAGACGGCGGGUUCGAUUCCCGU
rnacentral:tRNA from 1 species